UCUUCUUCCCGCAGACUGACGUUGACGGCAAAGCAGCUUUUCCCCGAGUCGCACGGAGGGCCGGCGCGGCUGCGGUAACCUCAUGGUUUUACCUGCUUGCCAGUGAAGUUCCAUUUGCAGUUUGCUUUGUCUGCUGUGCUUCACACAAGAUUUUCAUGGAUCUCAACAGUGCAAGCAGUGUUGUUUUGCAAGUCUUGACCCAAGCUACUAGUCAAGAUACUGCAGUGCUGAAGCCAGCUGAGGAACAACUGAAGCAGUGGGAGACACAGCCAGGCUUUUACUCUGUC